GCCCGCCGCUUGUCGGCCGCCGGGGGGGCGCCUCUGCCCCCCGGGCCCGUGCCCGCCGGAGACCCCAACACGAACACUGUCUGAAAGCGUGCAGUCUGAGUUGAUUGAAUGCAAUCAGUUAAAACUUUCAACAAUGGAUCUCUUGGUUCCGGCAUCGAUGAAGAACGCAGCGAAAUGCGAUAACUAAUGUGAAUUGCAGAAUUCAGUGAAUCAUCGAGUCUUUGAACGCACAUUGCGCCCCCUGGUAUUCCGGGGGGCAUGCCUGUCCGAGCGUCAUUGCUGCCCUCAAGCCCGGCUUGUGUGUUGGGUCGCCGUCCCCCUCUCCGGGGGGACGGGCCCGAAAGGCAGCGGCGGCACCGCGUCCGAUCCUCGAGCGUAUGGGGCUUUGUCACAUGCUCUGUAGGAUUGGCCGGCGCCUGCCGACGUUUUCCAACCAUUCUUUCCAGGUUGACCUCGGAUCAGGUAGGGAUACCCGCUGAACUUAAGCAUAU
rnacentral:rRNA from 1 species